rnacentral:misc_RNA from 1 species
GAUGAAGAACGUAGCGAAAUGCGAUAAGUAGUGUGAAUUGCAGAAUUCAGUGAAUCAUCGAAUCUUUGAACGCACAUUGCGCCCGCCAGUAUUCUGGCGGGCAUGCCUGUUCGAGCGUCAUUUCAACCAUCAAGCCCCCGGCUUGUGUUGGGGACCUGCGGCUGCCGCAGGCCCUGAAAAGCAGUGGCGGGCUCGCUGUCACACCGAGCGUAGUAGCAUACAUCUCGCUCUGGGCGUGCUGUGGGUUCCGGCCGUUAAACCACCUUCAUAACCCAAGGUUGACCUCGGAUCAGGUAGGAAGACCCGCUGAACUUAAGCAUAUCAAUAAGCGGAGGA